AUUGAAUGCUGGAGGCAUGCCUUACCCAUGCAAGUCGAACGGUAACAGGUCUUCGGAUGCUGACGAGUGGCGAACGGGUGAGUAAUACAUCGGAACGUGCCUAGUAGUGGGGGAUAACUACACGAAAGAGUGGCUAAUAUCGCAUGAGCUCUACGGAUGAAAGCAGGGGAUCGCAAGACCUGGUGAUACUAGAGUGGCCGAUGGCAGAUUAGGUAGUUGGUGGGAUAAAAGCUUACCAAGCCGACGAUCUGUAGGUGGUCUGAGAGGACGAUCAGCCACACUGGGACUGAGACACGGCCCAGACUCCUACGGGAGGCAGCAGUGGGGAAUUUUGGACAAUGGGCGAAAGCCUGAUCCAGCAAUGCCGCGUGCAAGAUGAAGGCCUUCGGGUUGUAAACUGCUUUUGUACGGAACGAAAAGCCCCGGGUUAAUUCCCUGGGGUCAUGACGGUACCGUAAGAAUAAGCACCGGCUAACUACGUGGCAGCCGCCGCGGUAA
rnacentral:rRNA from 1 species